rnacentral:rRNA from 1 species
GAUGAACGCUGGCGGCGUGCUUAACACAUGCAAGUCGAACGGAAAGGCCACAGCUUGCUGUGGUACUCGAGUGGCGAACGGGUGAGUAACACGUGGGUGAUCUGCCCUGUACUUCGGGAUAAGCUUGGGAAACUGGGUCUAAUACCGGAUAGGAAUCACAUGUGGGUGUGUGGUUGGAAAGCUUUUGCGGUAUGGGAUGAGCUCGCGGCCUAUCAGCUUGUUGGUGGGGUAAUGGCCUACCAAGGCGUCGACGGGUAGCCGGCCUGAGAGGGUGUACGGCCCAAUGGGGACUGGGAUCCGGCCCAGCCCCCUACGGGGGGCAGCGGUGGGGAAUAUUGCAAAAUGGGCGCAAGCCGGAUGCAGGGACGCCGGGGGGGGGAUGACGGCCUUCGGGUUUUAAACCCCUUUCGUCAGGGACGAAGCGAAAGUGACGGUACCUGGAUAAGAAGCCCCGGCUAACUACGU